CCGAAAAUGUGUGUGACUCACUUUGUCACAGUGGCUGUGUGCUCGAAAAGUAAGCUAUCACCAUAUUGCUACUAUAACAUCCAAGAUUUACACAGAUGACAUAGACUAAAGACAUGCUUCAUUUAAUAAAAAUAUGAAAAUAAAGAACAUAUAAUCUAGUUGGCCUUUAGAUAGAGGACUAUCCAAUCCAUCUAGGUAGAGAGGCUUUCUGGUCUCUUGAUAAAUACCUCAAUGAAAAAAAAUACUGUGGGUUUUAAAAUGCUGUGGUUAAGAGAACUGCAUCUCCCAGCAUGUCACAAGGGUUCUGCCUUCCUACUUCCUGAUAUGGGAUUGAUCUUGAAUGGACCAAUCACAUACUGGGGGAGGGAUGAUGCCCCCUACUUCCUGGCGUGGGAUUGGUCUUGAAUUGGACCAAUCCCGUGAUAGGAAAGGACCAUACCCUCCUACUUCCUGGAACUGGAUUGGUCUAUAUAAAAACCAAUCCAGGAGUUAGGAGGGGACUUUGAAUUAGAUUCAAAGACGGAAAGAGGCUAGUCAGUUAAAGGCUGCUGGAGCUCUGGUUUUCUUUCAAUUAAAGCUUUACAGUUUAAAAAAGAAAUAACUUUUUAUUUUAACCAUUUCCAUUGUAAUAUUUAAAGGAAUUAUAGGGAUUGAAGGGGGCUGGGGAAGAGCUAGAGGGGGUAAGGAAGGUUUUAUGACAGGGAAAUGAGGAGUUGAAGGGAGAGAGGGAAUAUGGCUGCUGGUCAGGUAAAAGGAGAUACCCCUGCUGAGAGGCUAUCUUUGAAACUUGGGGUUCCUGAGAAAUGGGUCACCUAUGAUAGCCUGAGGGGAUGUCUUCUCUAUGGAUUGAUGUUAAAGAUACCCCAGAGCAGGCACAUGAUCUCUUUCCUGAACUCUGCAUCUAUUUCUUCCUUCUGUCCAGAUGGAUCACUGAAAUUGAUUCCAAAAUCACACGAACCAGUUCUUACAGUACCUUGGCAUAGAGUUCUUCUGGUGCUCGUAGCCUGACUUCAUCAAGAAAAGGUUAAUCUUGUCAAGGAAGACAGGAAAAAAAAAAAGGUGAACAGCUCUUGCUUUCUCUAUGUAGUUUAGUUAUCACCAUCCCAUCUGCAUCAUGGAUUACUUGAACCUAUUCCCAUAGAACACCCUCAAUGGGAGUAAGAAAGAAUCACAUCUGAAAACAGCUGUAACUCUUAUUUUAUUUUCCAUUUGAUAUUUUACAUAUUGUGAAAUAUUUAUCCAACAAGCAAUGAUCACAUCUAUAUAAACAUUAAUGUAAUUGCAGCAAGGAAUCAAUCAGGUUGAUAAAAAAAAGCAUGAGUAAUACACAAAAGCAUGAAAAUGUAAGCAGUGUAUGCAGUUUUUCCUUGCUAUAUGUUUCAUUUUUUAAAAGUCAUUUUCAAACGUAUCUCAGGAGACAUAAAAGCAAAGAGAUAUAAUGACCUUCAUGCUUCUCAAAUCAAACAUCUUCUACUAGUGUCUGUAGGCUUUUUUUUCUAUUUUCUUACUAGUUCAGCGUCUUGACUUCACCUGUCUAACUGUAGAAGAGAUAUUACUUUCCAGUUACUGAAAGGAAAAAAAAGUUCCAAUAUUAUGAAUGGUUCAUUGUUAAGUUCUGCUUAAGAACUUAUAUUUACAUAGCACUUAAAGGCUCACAAAGCUCUUUACAUGUAUUUUUUAACUGAUCCAACUCUGAAACCAUUGCAAGUACUACCCUCUUUUACAGAUAAGAAAAUAGAAACAGAGCAAGAUAAUGUAUGUUUCCCAGGUCACCCAGACACAAAGUUUAUGAGGAAGGAUUUCAACACAGUUCUUCCUGACUCAUUCUAUAUAGUCAUCCAUUCCAGCUCUCAAUGUUAUCACUAAUGGGUUCACUUUUGAUUGUUUUAAAGGGAAAUAUAAUCAAAGGAAUGUUACAUAUAUUAACAUUUUACAUUACCCUAUAAGUUUUAUAAAUUUAAGAAACCAUUUAAAUUUAAGUUUACAUAUGUGUAUGUAUAAGUGUGUUUUUUAUAAUAGAAGA
ensembl:lncRNA